rnacentral:rRNA from 1 species
AUACCGGGCCUUUUUGGGCUUGGUAAUUGGAAUGAGGGAGAGUUAAACGGACCAUCGAGUAUCCAUUGGAGGGCAAGUCUGGUGCCAGCAGCUGCGGUAAUACCAGCUCCAAUAGCGUAUAUUAAAGUCGUUGCAGUUAAAAAGCUCGUAGUUGGACUUAUGUGCGCUGUCCGCGGGUGGCCUGCGCCCAAAAGGGCGUUUCGGUUCGGCCCCGGUGGCGCCUUGAAAUCUGCAGCUGGGGGGACGUUGGCCUUAACUGGUCGGCGACCGCACGCCGGCUGCUCGGUUACUGUGAGAAAAUUAGAGUGUUCAAGGCAGGCAUUGGGUGCAAUUGAAUACAUUAGCAUGGAAUAAUAAAAUAUGGCUCCUGCCGUAUUUUGUUGGUUUUGACUGGUGGGAGUAAUGAUUGAUAGGGACGGUUGGGGGUGCUAGUAUUGAGCGGCCAGAGGUGAAAUUCAUGGAUUCGCUCAAGACUAACUUAUGCGAAAGCAUUCACCAAGGACGUCCUCUUUAAUCAAGAACGAAAGUUGGGGGAUCGAAGACGACCAGAUACCGUCGUAGUCUCAACCAUAAACUAUGUCGACUUGGGAUCGGCGGUAGUUUUUUCAUUAAGACACUGUCGGGACCACGGGAGAAAUCAAAGUGUCUGGACUCUGGGGGAAGUAUGGUCGCAAGGCUGAAACUUGAAGGAAUUGACGGAAGGGCACCACCAGGAGUGGAGCCUGCGGCUUAAUUUGACCCAACACGGGGAAACUUACCAGGUCCAGAGAUGUAGAGGAUUGACAGAUUGAAGCUCUUUCUUGAUCACUUCGGUGGUGGUGCAUGGCCGUUCUUAGUUGGUGGAGUGAUUUGUCUGAUUAAUUCCGUUAACGAACGAGACCUCAGCCUGCUAGUGUAGUCGGCUGGAUUGCCUUUGGCGAUCCGUGAUUUCGACUUCUUAGAGGGACAAUCGACGCGCAGUCGAUGGAAGUUUGAGGCAAUAACAGGUCUGUGAUGCCCUUAGAUGUUCUGGGCCGCACGCGCGCUACACUGCUGGGCUCAGCGAGUUUUACUUGGCCGAGAGGCCCGGUUAAUCUUGUGAAAUCCCAGCGUGCUUGGGCUCGCCUCCUGCAACUGGAGGCGCCAACGAGGAAUUCCUAGUAGACGCAGGUCAUCAACCUGCAUCGAUUACGUCCCUGCCCUUUGUACACACCGCCCGUCGUUCCAUAAGAGUGAGGCAUCCGGUGAAUUCUCGGGAGAGCCUGGGCGUGGCCAGCAAUGGUCUGCUCGGGUUUGAACUUGCAUAAACUUGGUGCCUAUGAUUAGUC